AACACGUGGGGAACCUGCCCCAUAGUCUGGGAUACCACUUGGAAACAGGUGCUAAUACCGGAUAAGAAAGCGGAUCGCAUGAUCAGCUUUAAAAGGCGGCGUAAGCUGUCGCUAUGGGAUGGCCCCGCGGUGCAUUAGCUAGUUGGUAAGGUAAAGGCUUACCAAGGCGAUGAUGCAUAGCCGAGUUGAGAGACUGAUCGGCCACAUUGGGAUUGAGACACGGCCCAAACUCCUACGGGAGGCAGCAGAC
rnacentral:rRNA from 1 species